rnacentral:rRNA from 1 species
CACGUAGGGCGCAAGCGUUGUCCGGAAUUAUUGGGCGUAAAGAGCUCGUAGGUGGUUUGUUACGUCUGCUGUGAAAUCCUAGGGCUUAACCCUGGGCUUGCAGUGGAUACGGGCAGACUAGAGGUAGGUAGGGGAGAAUGGAAUUCCUGGUGUAGCGGUGAAAUGCGCAGAUAUCAGGAGGAACACCGGUGGCGAAGGCGGUUCUCUGGGACGGUACUGACGCUGGAGACGCGAAAGCGUGGGGAGCGAACAGG